CUAAAAGCCAAUAACAUUCUGUGCCAAGCAAAUAAUCAGGUAGAGUUAAAUGAAAGUUGAGCUCAACAAAGCCAAAUUACUUUGUCAGAAAAUUGAAGUUUAAAUAGUCUUCAUGGUGUGCAUUUAAUGGCAAAAAUUUUCUACUAUUUAUGGCAGUUUCAGAGUUUCAACACCCCUCCAUAGACUCAAAUUGUUACAAGCACAAGAAAAGUUCCUGAAUGGCCCCAAAAUUUUCUUAUUCUUUAAUAAAUAAAUAAAUAAAUAACCAAACUAAACCAAAAUAUAAACAGCAGCAGAAGCUCCCACUCAAGAUGCAGAAACCAGAGACCCAAAAAAACUACUGCACAAUACA
rnacentral:misc_RNA from 1 species